GUGGGUGUAGCUCAGCAGUAAAGCGUGUGCUUGGCGUGCACGAGGUCCUGGGAUCCAUCCCCUGUACCUCCA
rnacentral:tRNA from 1 species